rnacentral:rRNA from 1 species
UUUCCUACGGGAGGCUGCAGUGGGGAAUAUUGGACAAUGGGCGCAAGCCUGAUCCAGCCAUGCCGCGUGAGUGAUGAAGGCCUUAGGGUUGUAAAGCUCUUUCGUCAGGGAAGAUAAUGACGGUACCUGAAGAAGAAGCCCCGGCUAACUUCGUGCCAGCAGCCGCGGUAAUACGAAGGGGGCUAGCGUUGUUCGGAAUCACUGGGCGUAAAGCGCACGUAGGCGGAUCUUUAAGUCAGAGGUGAAAUCCCAAGGCUCAACCUUGGAACUGCCUUUGAUACUGGGGAUCUUGAGUCCGGGAGAGGUGAGUGGAACUGCGAGUGUAGAGGUGAAAUUCGUAGAUAUUCGCAAGAACACCAGUGGCGAAGGCGGCUCACUGGCCCGGAACUGACGCUGAGGUGCGAAAGCGUGGGGAGCAAACAGGAUUAGAUACCCGGGUAGUC